rnacentral:lncRNA from 1 species
ACGGCCCGGCGGGGGAAGCCCUCGGAGUGGACCUGCUCAACAACCCGGACUUGGUGGCGAAGGACCCGACGAUCUCGUUCGAGACCGCACUCUGGUUCUGGAUGACCCCUCAGUCGCCCAAGCCGUCGUGCCACGACGUGAUCACCGAUCGCUGGACCCCCUCCGCCGCCGACGUAUCGGCCGGUCGGCUUCCCGGGUACGGAGUCAUCACCAACAUCAUCAACGGCGGGCUCGAAUGCGGGAUCGGACCCGACAGCCGCGUCGCGGAUCGGAUCGGGUUCUACAAGAGAUAUUGUGACAUUCUCGAAGUCAGCUAUGGGGAUAACUUGGACUGCUACAAUCAGAGGCCCUUUAAUUGGGGUAGAGCCGUGGAAUAAGCUUAGUUAAUGAGGCCGCUUUAUUAUGAUAAAUAAUCUCCUGCUGGAGAAAAGAAUGUAAUGAACAAGACGCGCGUUUGGUUUGAGUUACCUGUAAUCCUGCCAGGACUACUGUAUUUGGUUCAUUCGCUAUGUAAUCUAAUCGUUAAUAUAGCAUUACAAAUCGAGCAGGAUUACACUGAAAAUAUUAACGGAAGAGAGGUCGUGUAUUUUGCAUUACUGAAAAUCGGUAAUACUAUAUAUUAUGUAAAAUGAUAAUUUUAUCCUCCACCAACCCCAAACUCAAUUAAUAGCAUUGUUUUCAUUUCUCUCUCACGCCCUCCCCGCUCUCUCUCGCAUGCCGCUCUCUCUCGUUCUCUCUCUCGCGCGUGCGCACGAACACCUAUCAUCUUCUAUUGCGUCGUCCUCUCACAUCACGAUCUCCUUCCCUCCAUUCGCCAUUUCCGCAUACAUUUUUAAUCACUUCUUCAUUAUGUAUAAUGCUAUUUUUUUUAUUUAUUCUUUUAUGGAUUGAAAUUAAUUUUUUGUAACAUUAAUUUUUUUCAUAUUUGGUUUUUUUAUUUUAUUACUUAUUAAUAUAAUUAAUUUGCUAGUGCAAAUUAUAUUUUAGUAAAAAAUAAUAUUCAAAUGACCACAACAAGAGCAAUUUUGUAAAAAAUAAUAUUUUUAUGUCAGGAUUACUAAAUUUUAUAGAUUGAACCAAACGUAGUAAUACUAUAAAUACUGCAAUCCAGUAUUACAUUACUGCAUUAAACCAAACGCGCUAAUGCUAUAAAUAUUUAAAUUUUUUAACAAAUAUAUAUAAUUUUUAAUUUUUUUGAAAAAAAAGAAAUUGAUAGUGUUUUUGGUCCAAUAGACCAAAAUUGUUUGGUCUAUUGGACUAAACACCUCCUCCCAAAAUCUGCCAUAUUUUUAAAUCCUUCGGUACCCUCGUCAUUUCUGUCAUUCACUGCCUCGGCCAUGGCCUCAUCACUUCCGUCUGCUCCGCCUUCAUCUGCGCCUGCUCUUCUUCCUCCGCCUCUUGCGCCGACGUUGGUUUGAUUCCUAACAAAAUUAACUUUUUUGAUAAUUUAUUUUUAAAUUUUAUGAAAAAUUAGUAUUUUUAUUUUUUUAAAAAAUUUAGAAAAAAAAUAAAAAUAUUAAUUUACCACGAAAUUUGAAAAUAAUUUUUAAAAAAAAUCUAAUUUUUUUGAAAUCAAUCAGACGAAAAACUGAAAAAAAAAUUUCGUGAAAAUUUUUUUCUUCGCUUUUUUGACGAGUCAAACACCUGCUAAGUGGAUACCAAGGAAGAUAUAAAGGACGUACCAUAUAUACCAUUUGAGAUAUUUAUUAUAAUAAUAAUAAUAAUAAUAAUAAUAAUAAUAUGAUGGUAAAAAAUAUAAGAAUACAAUUUAAAGUGAAUAUAAAAUUAUGAAAAUUAACACUAUUAGAAAUUGAUUCUUUCCCAACCGUAUAUGUUGUUGCUAUUGAUAAUUAUUAGUUGUAAUAAGAAAUUUUCCAUGAACUUAUUAAUAAAGUAUGGUUAAAAAUUUUCUAAAUACCACAAUAGAGAAAUAGACGGUGGAGGCUUUGUAAUUUUGCAUUGGAAUUAUGCGUACAUUAAACAUGCAAAUGGAUGUGAGGAUUUUUUUUUUUCUUCUUUCUUACCUCAAAUUAACCAUAGUAAAUGCGCUCAUUACAGACCUGACAAACGGCCGAAUUGAAUGAUUUCCAGUUUUAUGAUUUUGGAUCCUUGGAAUGCAGGUCUACAUGAGUACGCCCAAACUCGCCCCAGUCUGAGCUGGGAAGGUCGAACCCAAACAUUCAGUCCCAGCCCAUCCCCUUACAUGCAGACCCAUCCCUGAUAAGUGACGCGGGCCACCAAGAUAAGUCUGCAGGUUGAAUCCUGCCAUUAGGUCCACUCACGAAUGCCUGCAGGCCCAGCCCGGUAAAGUAAAGCCCAAUCAGAAACCCCAAGAAAUUAAGGGUGUGUUUGGUUCGCUUAUUUUUCACCCUGGAAUCGGAAUGGGAAUGGGCGAAUCCAUUUGUAGGUGUUUGGUACGUGGGAGUCCCAUUCCGAUUCCAAUUCCCGAGUGAAAUGGGAAUCCCCAAAUCACCCUUUUUUUCAAUCCGGCCUCCUAGGCCGGAUUGGAAGUUAAAUCCGGACGGAAUGAAUAUUUAUUCGGAUUAAAUUUAUUUUUUCAACUUUUUUAAUUAAAAUAUGAGUUAAAAUUUAAAAAAUAAAUAUAUAAUUUUAAAUUUUAAUUUGAACUUAAAUUAAAAAUUAAAAUUUAAUCAAGUAUUUCGAAUCUAACUUAUGAAUUUGAAUUUAAAUUAAAUUUUAAUUUAUAUAAAGUUUUAUUCAAUUUUAUUUCAAACUUAAAUUAAAUUUAUGGAUUCAAAUUAAAAUUUAAAUUGUAAUUUUAACUUUGAAUUUGAAUAAAUCAAAAUUUAAUUUCAUAUUUUGAAUUAUCCACUCAACUUCAAAGUUUAAUUUUUUUAAAAAAAAUAGAUUUAAAAUUUUGACAUUAUUUCAAAAUUUUGAUGUAAAUAUUUAAUAUUUAAUAUUUAAUUUGAAUUUAAAUUAAUAUAUUAUAAAGAUAAUAUUAGUAUAUUAAUUUGAUUACGUUUUUUAUAUCCACUUGAACCAAACAUCGACAAUGGAAAUGAUUUAUUACGAUUUCGAUUCAGGUGAUGAACCAAACAGAAUUAGAUAAUGAGUCAUUCCGAUUCUGAUUCCAGUUUAUUUUGAUUCCGAUUUCGAUUCCGACUCCGACUACGAACCAAACACGCCCUAAGUUCGAUCUUGAAGCGCCGAGUCCGACGCCCUCCUCUCUUUGACCGCAUUAGGAUGCGAUCUUGCGUUCUCCACGAGGCACAUGGUAAGGCCCCUAAAGUCAAGAACCGUAUGAUCUUGCCUCAGAAAAAAUCCCAUCAUUUUCUCCUUCCAAUGCUCACCAGUGUCCUUAAAACACAUUUAAAAGUACUGGGCGUUACCUACUCCACCGACGGGCUUGUGCAGGGCAUUAACUCCAGCUUUGUAAACCCAAAAAAAAGCUCCUCCUUGUAUUCCUUGCUAUCCCGCAACCACAUUUUCCCUAUUUAAUCAAAACUGCUCUUAAUCUAUUAUUAGAGCUAAUUACCGUUCAAAAUAUUAUAACUGAAUUAACAGUGUUACUAUACCUUAAUUCUGGGAUCGUCACAUUGACUGUUUGAUCAAGAGGGUCUACAGCUUAGGCUUUGCUUUAGAGGUGGCGUUAUUAUGAACAAAUUCCAGAGCUAGAAAGUUAAUUGUAGCAGCCACUUACUACUACUACUGCUACUAAUAGUAUUCUAAUUUAACCAUCUCUAAAUAUAUUUUUACCCAGCAAACUCUCUUAUUAUAUAUAAUAUAAUAAUAAUAAAUGGAACUUGCCAGUUUUUUCACAUGUGCAAAUGCUUUGGAUUUUGUAAAUAAAAAUAUUUGAAUCUCGAAACUUGUUAUAUGGAUAUUGUGUACUAUCAAAAUCAACGGUAUAGAAAAUCACGUUAUUUAAUUCAUGAUAAAUGGGUGAUUAAUAUUAUGAUAAUAUGUAAGAUAUUUUGAAAGUGGUUGAACACAUUCAAUAUAUUAAUUCUGAAUUUUAGACCUUUUUAUAUUUUAGUAUCAAAAAGCAGUUAUAUACUUCACAAAUGACGGAUAUAAAGAAUUAAGAAUGACAAGUUUCACAUUACCCAAAAUAAAAUAACCACUCUUCCAGAGUGGUAUCUCACUGAUGACUCGGGUUCCCCCGGAAGGGGCCUUCUUCGUCUUCCAUCUAAAUAUCUAAAUACUGAGAAAAUUUUGAUUGAUGGGAUUUGGUAUAAUACUUAUGAGGUGGGAGUGAUGAACCCCUUCUAAAUGAUACAGAGAAAAAUUGGAGUCAUGAGCUUUCUGCCAUGUCGAUUUGAUUCUACCCUUAUAUUGGGAAUCACAAUAGGGGCACUAGUAAUUGUGUAGUGAGAAAGAGAAAUAUUAGUCCAUACACUUCUUUUAAAAAUUCCGAUGUAGAAAAAGAAGUGUAUGGACUAAUAUGGAUUGUACCCAUUUUGACCCUUAUAUUGGGAAUCACAAUAGGGGUACUAAUAAUUGUGUGGAGAAUUUGGUUUCUGCCAAGCUGAAACAAUAUGCUGAAUCUUUCUUUUUCUAUUUGAACUUAUUUCAUUUACAAAUUCUUUUUCACAUAUUAGAUGUAGCUGGUGUAUUCGGCGGCUCCCUAUCCAGUGCUAUGCAUGGUUCCAGAAAAGAGACUUCACGAGAACCAACCUUUUGAUUACUGGCAUUUUAGAAAAAUAUUCUUCUUCGUAAAAGGAUCGAUUUUUCUAAAGCCAAUCUAAUGUGCCGUGGAAAAUGGUUAAAGAUUUAAAUUUUAUGUAAAAAUAAAGUUUCAAAAAUUUUGUUCUUAUGAAUUUACACACAUGGGAAGCAGUAAUUUAAUAUUAUUAUUUUUAGUUGGAAUGGGAAGCAAACUUUCUCCAUCUAGUACUGGUCCCAGUCUCCAUUAAAUUUUUUGUCCUUGAUAAUUGUUGAUUGAAAAUGUAUUUGUCCUAAAUAUUUUUUUUUUUUUCUUUGAUAGCUAUACAAGAAGACCAUGUCAACUACUACUUUGCAAGUAAGGUAUAUUUUUGGGAGUUUUUUUUUUUCUUUUAAUUUUUAUUGAAUUCGAACUCACUCAUUCGGCAUCUGACUUAUGAUAUCUUGGAUCCAGGUACAGUCUUUUGUUGCAAUCACUACAUGGCUCUUAAUGGGUCUCAAAUUCAAAUGCCGCUUCGAACAAUAUAUAGUCUACAUUAAUAAGAGCCUAAACUUACUCAAAAACAAGUACAAUAAAAAUAAAAAUAAUUCAUUUUGUUGUUGGCAUUUCUGUUAGAACAAAUACCGCAACGAAAAUUUGAUUGUGAUUAAUAUCUAACUAAUUUUGUAAUAAGAAUAAAAUCAAACUUACAGAUAAACGCAAAUAUCCAAAUAAUGAUUUGAUCUUAUCCGGAAGCGUGCGAGGCACUGCCCUAAGGCGUAUUUCCGUCCUUACGUGCGGGAUUAACCGGAAAUAACACCCCAAGGUACGACCGGAAUUCCUCCUCCUGCGAGCACGAUCGUGAAGGAGGUUGGCGGAGAUUCUUUCAACACCCAGGAAUAUUCAAAUAGUAAAAGAUAAAAGAUGAAUAGAUAAGAAUUAACAAAUUAUCUAAAUCUCAUUCUCUACUACUCUGUCUGAAACAGAGGAGAAGAAAGGAAGGGAAUUUAACGCUCUUUCUCGUUACGAGAAAAAGACGUAUUCCACGCAACGGAAGGGGAUUCCGUUUGGCGUAAGAAACGGAACGGAAAAAUAUUCCGUUAGUUUCUUACGCAUUAAGAAAGAGAAUAAAAAUAAAUAAAUAAAUAAAAUUAAAUAAGUAAAUAAUAAAAUAAUAAAUAAUGAUAAAUAAUAAAUAAAUAAUUUAAAAUUCAAAUAGAAUAAAAUUCAAAUUUUAAAAUUUUGAGGUUUUUUUAACUAACAAUUUCAACAGUGGAGAGGCCAAUUUGUGAUCCUCUUUUUUCUUUUUUUUUUUAAAAAAAAACUUGAAUAAGGAGGUUUUUAUUUGGUACUUUCCAUAUUUUUCAAACUCAAAACUAAUAAAUUUUUUAUAUAAAUUAGUCUUUUUAAAUUUGAUGUCAAAAUAAAGUCUCAAAAGUUUCGUUCUUAUGAAUUUAAAUACAUGGGAACCAGUAAUUUAAUAUUAUUAUUUUUAGUUGGAAUGUAAAGCAAAUUUUCUCCAUCUAGUGCCGUUCCUAAACAGACCAAUGUAGGCCGGCCGGUCUCCAUCAAAUUUUUUUCCUUGAUAAUUAUUGAUUGAAAAUGUAUUUGUCUUUUUUUUUUUUUUUUCUUUGAUAGAUAUACAAGAAGACCAUGUCAACUACUAUUUUGCAAGUAAGAUAUUUUGUGGGUUUUUUUUUUUCUUGAAAUUUUCAUUGAAUUCGAACUCAUUCGUUCGGCAUCUAACUUAUGAUAUCUCGAACCCAGAUACAAUUUUUGAUUGCAAUCACUACAUGGCUCUUAAUGGGUCUCAAAUUGAAAUGCCGCUCCAAACAAAACAUCAUCAUCUACAUUAAUAAGAGCCUAAACUUACACAAGAAGUAAACAAGUACGAUAAAAAUAAAAAUAAAUCAUUGUGAGGUUGGCAUUUCAACAGUGGAGAGGCCAAUUUGUGAUCCUCUUCUUUUGUUUUUUUUUUUUAUUUUUUAAAAAGAGCUUGAAUAAGGAGGUUUUUAUUGGUUCUUUCUUCUAUAAAUACCAAUCCCCCCUCCUCCCCAUUCGCCACAUCAGAAAAACAAAAUGAAGUUCUCUGUCUUCACUAUCUUACUUGUCUCAACUACCGCCUCGCUGCCUGGCGUCCUUGCUCAGCAGUGCGGCAGCCAGGCCGGAGGCGCCCUGUGCCCCGGCGGCCUUUGCUGCAGCCAGUGGGGCUACUGCGGAGACACUCUCCCUUACUGCGGCGACGGCUGUCAGAGCCAGUGUUCCCCGCCACCGCCUUCCCCGCCCUCACCGCCGCCUUCCCCGCCUUCCCCGCCCUCGCCGGGCGGCGACGGAGUCGCGUCGAUCGUCUCCGCCGCUCUGUUCGACGAGCUGCUGCUGCACCGCAAUGACGCCGCCUGCCCGGCCCACGGGUUCUACCAGUACGAAGCCUUCAUCGCGGCCGCCAACGCAUUCGUCGGCUUCGGGACGACGGGCGACCUCGACACCCGCAAGCGGGAGAUCGCGGCGUUCUUGGCGCAGACGUCGCACGAGACCACCGGUAUAUUCUUAAUUUAUGUGGAUUGAAUUGAACUGGUACGAUCGAUUCAAAGGACUUUAUACAUCCAAAAUAUGAUCGAAAUACCUGGUUUGUGGAUAUAAUGCAGGCGGGUGGCCGACCGCGCCGGAUGGACCGUAUGCGUGGGGUUACUGCUUUCUGGAGGAGGUGGGCGCCACCGCCGACUACUGCGUUCCGAGCACGCAGUGGCCGUGCGCUCCCGGGAAGAAGUACUACGGCCGUGGGCCCAUUCAAAUCUCCUAGUAUGUAUACUAGUAAUGUUUUUUGAACUAUUAAUAAUGUGUCGAAUUGAUCAGUUUCGAAUAUUUAGUUAGUUAAUAGAAAUAUAAUGUGUAGACACCAAGUCAACAUUUUUUUCGAGUUGAAUUUAGUCAAAUUCCGACAGAUGUUUUUGAUUGGAAUUAUUGCAGCAAUUACAACUACGGCCUGGCGGGGGAAGCCCUCGGAGUGGACCUGCUCAACAACCCGGACUUGGUGGCGACGGACCCGACGAUCUCGUUCGAGACCGCACUCUGGUUCUGGAUGACCCCUCAGUCGCCCAAGCCGUCGUGCCACGACGUGAUCACCGAUCGCUGGACCCCCUCCGCCGCCGACGUAUCGGCCGGUCGGCUUCCGGGCUACGGAGUCAUCACCAACAUCAUCAACGGCGGGCUCGAAUGCGG